UACGGAGGAUACGAGCGUUAUCCGGAUUUAUUGGGUUUAAAGGGUGCGCAGGCGGCGUGUCAAGUCAGCGGUAAAAUGUCGGGGCUCAACCCCGGCCGGCCGUUGAAACUGGCGUGCUCGAGUUGGAGAGAAGUAUGCGGAAUUCGUGGUGUAGCGGUGAAAUGCAUAGAUAUCACGAAGAACCCCGAUUGCGAAGGCAGCAUACCGGCUCCACACUGACGCUGAGGCACGAAAGCGUGGGUAUCGAACAGG
rnacentral:rRNA from 1 species